rnacentral:rRNA from 1 species
GUGAGGAAUAUUGGGCAAUGGGCGCAAGCCUGACCCAGCAACGCCGCGUGAAGGAUGAAGGCCCUUGGGUUGUAAACUUCUUUUGCAGGGGAAGAGAGCGGACGGUACCCUGAGAAUAAGUCACGGCUAACUACGUGCCAGCAGCCGCGGUAAUACGUAGGUGACAAGCGUUAUCCGGAAUUACUGGGCGUAAAGCGCACGCAGGCGGCUAGGUAAGUCUGACGUGAAAUCUCCCGGCUUAACCGGGAGCGGUCGUUGGAAACUACUUGGCUUGAGGCGAUGAGAGGGGUGUGGAAUUCCCGGUGUAGUGGUGGAAUGCGUAGAUAUCGGGAGGAACAUCAGUGGCGAAAGCGGCACCCUGGCAUUAGCCUGACGCUCAGGUGCGAAAGCGUGGGGAGCGAACGGGAUUAGAAACCCCAGUAGUCC